GGGAAGCCAGCUAAGUUGCUGAUCGACUUUCGGAAGAGGGUCUAUCCUCAAGUUUUGGAUUCUGGGCCAAUAACUUUCCUUGGCUCAUGACGGAACUCAGACAAACAUUAGAAAAUAUUUAGAAUAGAUGUCAUGCUGUUUAUAUCCUAUAGUGAUUCACCCUUCUAACAAUUCCAUUAUAUUUUGUUUUUGGGGCUCCAAGUUCCUAAAGUCCUUUUGAAUUUGUAAAUCAAAUUAGUGCCGUAUCACCAAUAGAUAAUUGAAAAAAGAUUAAUUGGAAAGUCACUUCCUCCAAAUUACCAAAAGCUAAAUGCAUAAUAUUUUUCCAAUACAAAAGUUAGAUCAAUUGAGGGACCCUAAACUGUGCAACACACAGCCCCGACCCAGCCCAUGCUUCUCUUUAGCAUCUGAAAUAGAACGGCAAUAGAAAGAAUAAUAAGCUAACAGCCUAGAAAGUUAUCUCUACAUCUCUAAUUGCAUUAAACAUAUAACAUAUAUGUAUGUGUGUAUAGAUAUCAUUAUAAAUUGUAGUAAAAAGUAAUUUUGCAAUUUUCAAGAAGAAAUUCCACAAUUGGCAUGUAGAUGUUAAACAACUUAGUAAUUCAUCUUUCAAAAUGUUAGUAUAAAAAUUAGAUUUAAUGUAACACCAUUUAUAACACCAUCAAA
rnacentral:lncRNA from 1 species